GACAGAGGGUGCAAACGUUGUUCGGAAUUACUGGGCGUAAAGCGCGUGUAGGCGGCCAUCUAAGUCGGGCGUGAAAUCCCACGGCUCAACCGUGGAAGUGCACUCGAAACUGGAUGGCUAGAGUCCUGGAGAGGAAGGUGGAAUGCUUGGUGUAGAGGUGAAAUUCGUAGAUAUCAGGAGGAACACCAAUGGCGAAGGCAGCACUCUGGGACGUGACUGACGCUGAGACGCGAAAGCGUGGGGAGCAAACAGG
rnacentral:rRNA from 1 species